rnacentral:sRNA from 1 species
GCUUCACAUGAUGAUGUAACCUUAAACUUGGCCACUUAUGAUCAAGUGAUGUGUGAAAUAGAUUGAAAU